CGGACGGGUGAGGAAUACAUCGGAAUCUACUCUGUCGUGGGGGAUAACGUAGGGAAACUUACGCUAAUACCGCAUACGACCUACGGGUGAAAGCAGGGGAUCUUCGGACCUUGCGCGAUUGAAUGAGCCGAUGUCGGAUUAGCUAGUUGGCGGGGUAAAGGCCCACCAAGGCGACGAUCCGUAGCUGGUCUGAGAGGAUGAUCAGCCACACUGGAACUGAGACACGGUCCAGACUCCUACGGGAGGCAGCAGAG
rnacentral:rRNA from 1 species